UCCCUGGAGGACUAGUGGUUGGGCCACAGUGCUCUCGUUGCUACAGCCCAGGUUCGAUCCCUGGCCAGGGAA